rnacentral:rRNA from 1 species
GGAUUAGAUACCCGGGUAGUCCACGCCCUAAACGAUGUAAACUCGACAUUAGCGAUAUACUGUUAGUGUCCAAGCGAAAGCGUUAAGUUUACCACCUGGGAAGUACGACCGCAAGGUUGAAACUCAAAGGAAUUGGCGGGGUCCGCACAAGCGGUGGAGCAUGUGGUUUAAUUCGAUGAUACGCGAGGAACCUUACCUGGGCUAGAAUGUAACUUGACCGAUCCUGGAAGGGUCUUUAGUAGCAAUAUACAGGUUACAAGGUGCUGCAUGGUUGUCGUCAGCUCGUGCCGUGAGGUGUUGGGUUAAGUCCCG